rnacentral:rRNA from 1 species
GUGGGGAAUAUUCCGCAAUGGACGAAAGUCUGACGGAGCAACGCCGCGUGAGUGAUGAAGGUUUUCGGACUGUAAAGCUCUGUUGUUUAGGACGAAAGUGCCUGUUGCAAAUAGUUACAGGUAUUGACGGUACUGAACGAGGAAGCCACGGCUAACUACGUGCCAGCAGCCGCGGUAAUACGUAGGUGGCAAGCGUUGUCCGGAAUUAUUGGGCGUAAAGAGCAUGUAGGCGGGAAUCUAAGUCUGUUGUGAAAAUGCGGGGCUCAACCCCGUAUUGCGAUGGAAACUGGGUUUCUUGAGUGCAGGAGAGGAAAGGGGAAUUCCCAGUGUAGCGGUGAAAUGCGUAGAUAUUGGGAGGAACACCAGUGGUGAAGGCGCCUUUCUGGACUGUGUCUGACGCUGAGAUGCGAAAGCCAGGGUAGCGAACGGGAUUAGAUACCCGGGUAGUCC